rnacentral:rRNA from 1 species
UACGAAGGGGGCUAGCGUUGCUCGGAAUCACUGGGCGUAAAGGGCGCGUAGGCGGGAUGGCAAGUCGGUCGUGAAAUCCUUCGGCUCAACCGAAGAACGUCGGCCGAUACUGCCGUUCUUGAGGGAUGCAGAGGAGAUUGGAAUUCCCGGUGUAGCGGUGAAAUGCGCAGAUAUCGGGAAGAACACCCGUGGCGAAGGCGGCUCUCUGGGACGGUACUGACGCUGAGACGCGAAAGCGUGGGGAGCGAACAGG